AAUGGUUUGACCAGGCGGUAUAACGAUGAUUUCAAAUGGUUUGACCAGGCGGUAUAACGAUGAUUUCAAAUGGUUUGACCAGGUGGUAUAACGAUGAUUUAAAAUGGUUUGACCAGGUGGUAUAACGAUGAUUUCAAAUGGUUUGACCAGGUGGUAUAACGAUGAUUUCAAAUGGUUUGACCAGGUGGUAUAACGAUGAUUUCAAAUGGUUUGACCAGGUGGUAUAACGAUGAUUUCAAAUGGUUUGACCGUCCAGAUCUGUUUACACUUGAUAUCCAGACACAAUCUGACCUUCAGAGGUGGUCAGGAAGAUCUGAUCGCAAUCAGAUCACAAUGCAACUUCUAAAAACAUCUACACCAGCUUAAACGGGACAAGAU